rnacentral:lncRNA from 7 species
GCUCCUUGUUUCAGUUUGUGAUACCCAGUUUGUAUCAUCCUAGAACAAUAGCUGAAGGGCAAGUCAGGCUGUGCAUUUUCUCUGUCCUUUGCCUCCAGACCUUAUUGCAUUAAGUACAGCCUGCAUUUUUCUCUGCAGUUUUGUGCGCUGGGUAUGCUGAUUGUAUGCAGAUUUCUUAAUAGUAAUGUUAAUUUUCGAACUUCUGAAUUAACACAGAGCACAGGCUUCUCCUACCUUGCAGUGGAAUGAAGUAUGCUUAGAUUUGUGCCACUCCCUGGGAAAUAUCACAGCUGAGGUGGGAAAAAGCAGCUCAGUGCAGGAAUUGUUCUGAAUUAUAUUACCUCAUAAAACUAAAGAUGGCAAGAACCAAGAGUGAUCCAGAGGUCAAUCUUCUGUCCUUCUACUCUGUUCACCGAACUCUAAGCAGAUCAUUCAGGCAGAGAAAUCAAAUGUGUCUAAAAUCCUGGAUGCCUCCUGUUGGCUCUGGCAAUGGGCAUGGACAGCCACACCUGCCCAGUGGGACAGCUAGCUUUGGACGCACCAUGGUGAAGAGAACCUCUGGGUCGGCUGAGUGCUCCAGCUGGGGAUGCUACCUGUUCUUCCACACAAGCACAGCUGUUGGUGGCUUAAUCAGCAAUGUUGCUCCCUUCUCUGCUUUUGUACUUUGCAAUGCUGAAAGGAAUCAACACCUACCUUCCUCAUAGCCUUCUGCAUCCUCUACAAACCUUAAUGCUAGAAAGAGAGAUCUCCUGCAAGGGGAAAAAGGAUUUCCUGUCUUAGGUACGAAACAUAAUUGUUAACCAGCUUGGGCUCUAGUGCUGGCCAGAGACAUCUAAUGCCCUCUAUGUCCAGGUGCCUGAAUGCGGAUGACAAUUAUCAACCAUGUUUCCAAACGCUCUACAAUGACAUCUAAAUAUAUCUGUAGAAACAGCAGCUUUGAUCAUAUAUAACAAUGUGUCUCUGUCCUAAGCAUAAAUGUGGACCAUUCAUAAGGGCUUAUAGGAAAGAAUGGAAUUAAAACAAAAAUUGGCAAUGAAGUGAGGUUUCUGUACAGACAACCCAGAGAAAUGGGGAACAUUUCGGAGCCAUAAACAAUUACAUUAAAAUAAUAAUGUUUUUAAAUGCUUUUCUUUUGUUUAUUAAAUAUUACUCUUUGUGUAUGCCAAGCCUAACAAACUAUCUUGCUUUAAAAAUAAAUAAGUAAUUAAAUUGUAGAGCAGAAAAAAUGUAGCAGAGAUUCACUUUUUUAUGUGUCUGCCUCUGUGGUGUGGUUUUUUAGAAUUAUUAUGGCAAGGAUUGGAUUACUUAUGAGAUGAAUAGCUUUGUAUCCACUGAUUUUGUAAACCCUCCCAUUUAUCUUUUGAAUAAUUACUAUGUUUGUAAUUACACAGCAGGAUUAAUAAAAUACAAAUUGCAGGGAAAAGCAAGAUACAUCACAAAGAUAAAACAACAAAAACAUAUUUAUAGUUGCUUUUAAGGAGGAGUUUCUGCCUAAAGAUUUCAUCUUUAAUUAAAUUUAUGUAUUUUAUUUAUUGGUCCUU